AGCACAACUCGCGGGCGGAGGAGAGCGAGGCGAGCGCCGCGCGGGGCCGGCGGGAGGCGGCCGCGGGGACGGAACAGCAAAUGCUAUUCAGCCCGAGCAGUUUCAAGCCGCCCAUGCUGGGGAAUUACUGUAGUCUAGCUACGGCUCUGAGCGCUGGCGCUGGCUGUGUGUGCGUGCGCGCGCGCGUGUGUCUGUGUGUGUGUGAGUGCGUGUGCAUGCCCAGCUCACAUACACGCGUCGGGCGGAACGGAGGUACCGCUGCUCGGGAGGGGGCGGCGGGGGGGCACCCAACUUUCCUCCGGCCCCGCCGCAACUCAGCCCCCCGAGGGGCUCGGACAGUGUGCAAAAAACACACACACACACGCACCUGAAAAUAAAAAUAAAACACACGCACACACAGAAAAAAAAAAAAAAAAAAGAAGAAGAAGAAGAAGAAAAAAAAAGAAAAAAAGAAACGUAUUCUUGGGCAGGCUGACAGCCGGGGUCAAGAAACAGCUGCUGGAGUUAAUGUUUCUUCCUCCCGCUCCGUCUGAUGGCGGUGCCCUGCCAAGACGAAGUGGGAGCCUGAGCGCGGCUCCUGCCCGACCGGGCUCCGGGGCGCCUGCCCGGCACACGUCGCCCGCCCGCGACCGGGGCACAAGCCGAGCCGGCGCGGGGAGGCAGGAGAGGUCAGGGCGAAACGGAAGGGAAACGUGGGCCCCUCAGCACCCAUCCUCCUCCACGGCCUUCUGUGUCCCUGGUCCUGCAGCCGGUCCUGGGCUCAGGUCUUCCCAGGGAGGUGGGCAAAGUUUGUCGGGGUGCGGUGGGCCCGAGGACGCUCUGAGGUGGGCAGCUGAGCAGGUUCUCAACGUGAGAGGAGCAGCUGGGUGUCAGAAGUGUUUGUUUUUGUGCAGGCUCAAGUUGUGAAUUUAGGAAAUGGGCGAUAUCUGGCAGUUCCCACUGACUCAGCUGCUCAGCUGCUCAACCUUUUGACCACACACUGGGGAUGUAAGAGCUCUACAUCUGGGUGUCCUUCUAGAGAAGUUGGGCAGUGUUGGGGAAUAGCAACAUUGCAUUGCUCUGGUUUGCCCCUUAAGGAUGAAGCUACACAUCUUGUGCCUGCCAGAUCCAUCCUGCUAUCUGCAGAGUUACACCCCAGCACUUCAUCAUGGCAUCACCGCCCCUUACUGCCAGGCUUUACUGAGUUGUGACACAGCCUCAUCAUGCAAAGAGGUUGCAUUGACUCUUAUGUAUCUUUAGAACAUUUCCGCAUUUGCCAUUGCCACAGAGAUGCCUUCUCAAAAUGAAAUAAAUACAAGCAUGAGUACUAUUGACAUCCUGCAAACAUGGCUUGCUGGAGGCUCAUUAAAAAGCAGAGCUGUCCAGUAAGCCGCAGUGCCUCCUGGCAAGCUGGCCUAUUUCAUUUCUUCCUUAAUUCCCUGUCCAGGAUGGUGCACUAUUCCAGCCUACUGCUUUAUAGUGUUCUGUGAGCUCCACUCUGGCUGCUGCUUUUUCUAGGCUGGUCCACUUUGCUCUUUCAGCUGAAUUCUCCACACAGCUCCUUGCCCAACUGCACCGCUUGCUGCUAAUUAAUGCCUGAUUUUUUGCUAUCUAAAAAAGAUAACACUUUGAUUAGGCACACACACACACACACACACGCGCACACACACACACGCACAUAUACCAACAUUAACUCUCCUCUUUCUGAAGACUAACUGGCAUGAAAUCCAGAUGUUGAAAGAUUCCCAUUGGCUUUAGUGAGAUCAUGGUUUCACAUGUGGCACCCAGAGCUAUCCAUGUGCCUCUAACACCCAUCAAACAGUAAUUUCCAUUUGCCGUAAUUCAGCCUCCUUAUUUAAUCCCGUAAUUCUGAUGAAGAACGUGGACGUAUUUUGUUAUACUAACCAUGAACUUUUUCUGAGCCAAAUCUUUGCUGUUGCAACCUAUACAAAGCUGCAUUAUGUCUCUUCUUCUUCUUCUUCUUUUCCCAGGCUUUUUUACAACCUCAGAAGAAUUAGUAUGCAUGCUUUUCCUUUUUUAGAGACUUAUUUCAAGCAUGCAAGUUGCAGUUCAUGAGAAUUAGCACCAUGAGUUUUUCAGCCACCUUCUUUUUUUUCAUGCAAGUAUUUUCCAAACAUUAGCCACUUUGCGUCCAAAUCUUUAUCAAGCAUAAAUAACAUGGGGCCAGGGACAGUAUCUGGAGUUCAGACAAAGAAGAGGUUGGUCCACAAACUCAAAGAAGCUCUAAACUAUCAUCUCCAAGGAUCCAGAAGGUCAUGAGAAGAAAAAAGGGCAUUUGCUUCUAGAUCAAAUGGGAGCUGGAAAGAAAGAGUGGUUUUGGCCACAGUCUGUGGAGAAACAAGCCAUGACAUGUGUAGCUUUAAUUCUGCGUUUGGAGGAGCUGUUUGCAGUGGCUUUUUAGCAAGGCUGGAAGGCCUUUGUCCUACAGAAGCCUGCAGAGCAGUCUACGGCUGGGCAGAUCCAUUUGCAGAGUCAGAAUGGUAGAUUUGUGAAGAAUUGGUGGACUGCAUGUAGGCUGUCUAAUGCCUGAAGUUGCGCCGUUAGGAACUUGCAUGGCAUGACUGAAAAGUUAUGGGGAAGGGGGGAGGGCACAGGACCCCUUUCAGAUCUUUAUUUUUGUGCUUUUCUGCCCUAAGAGUUAUUCAUAACAAAAUCAUUUUAAGACAGUGUUUGCAAAAUAUAUAUGAUGUUGUUGAUGCACUGGCAGGAUGUUUUGUUGAUGCACUGGCCAGUGUUUUGGGCACUUCUGUCGGCAUGAAGAUUGCUCUAUCCUCAUUUGCUAUGCCAAUGCUGAUUUCAUGGCUUGUUGCAGAAAAAAGAUUGAGAGCUCCCAUUCCCUCAUUUGAUACACAAGGAUGGUGAAACAGCCACUGAAAAUGAAAGUUUACACACUUACUACCAGUGAAGGGAAACGUUUUAUCAAACCAGAUUAUUUUAGAUGAGAGAACACAUAGCCACAAUAGGAAACUGAGAUCAAGUAGUUCUCGAGUUACACAGAAAGACAUUGUUUUUCAUGAGUAGCAAGAAUAUUCAAAACCAUAAUAGUCAAACAACCAAGUACAGAAGGAGAUGGAAAACCUCAUGUUCCAGAUCAUCGUUAAAUCUGAGAGAACAACUGAGAUAAAGACAGAUACCAGGCUGAUUACUGUGGAUCUUUUCUGAGAAUUCCUUGAAAUUGUAUUGGAAACGUCUGAUUCUAGCAGCUACUGAUACAGAAGACCUGAAGAGAGGAGGACACCUAAUCCUUAAACAGUACUCCUAAGUUUGAUUGGAGCUAAGAAGAAAUUGCAAAUUAAUGAGUUGUUCCAAACUGUAUAGUCACUUUCAUCUGUUGGAAGAGACCUACCAGGGAGACAUACUCCUGCAAUUGCAUUUGUUGGUACUCGUGACUUGUGUUUCUCAAACCAAGGGACUGGAAUUUACCCACUUUACAUCCACCAAAACAUUUAUUUUCACAGCAGGAUCUUGUUUUACAAAGCCUUUAUUUCUGUGGCUAAGAAGUCAAUCGUCUCUGUUUUGGGAAAGUGACGUUCUCACUUCCACUGUGACACUGUUCAGCCUGAUUCCCCUAGGACACAAUGCAUGGUCAAGCCGCUGCAGGGUAAGCUGGCACAUGAAUUUACAAGACUGUAUGCAUGCGUACAAGGAGGGCUAGGCUGCCUUGAGUUACCUUGCUUUAUCCUCACACGCACAAGCAGUUACCAUGGAGGAGGCAGCAUAUUUUAAAUCCACCUCUCACCACUAAACUAGUGCUGCAUGCUCAGUGCUCCCGUAUCAUUCCACCAACACCAACUUGCUCUUGUGUCCAUAGAUUUGUCUCCUGCUGGCUUUCGUUCUGUAGCUGGAUCCAGAAGUUGAAAUUUUGUCUGUUCUUUUGGGCUGAAAUCAGUCCCCAGCAUCGAUUGGUACAGCAGAGAAGGCACAGCUGGCCAAAUGGUGUGUUGUUCUUCCAUUCUCCCGGGGCUAUCCCCUCAAGAGAAGAUGGCAAAAUGUGUAUUCAGGUGCAGCAGAGUAAUUGUGCUGACGGACUGCCUGGAGAUAGCACCUCAAGGAACAUAAGUGCUUUGUACUGCCACCACAUGUAUUUCCCUCAAGGUUUAAGCAUCCCUCCUCAUCCCCAUCCUUCAUUCCUCGCUGCGUGCCACAUUGUGCUGGCACAGCUGUUUGCCUGGCCGUGGGUGGCACAGGGGUGGGACGAAGCAGCUGGAGGGGUCCGAUGGCUGCUCCUGCAGCUCUGCCACCAUGAGUGCAGCCCUGGCAAGAAUCCCUGCAAGGUGCUUGAGGGGCAAGACCUUCCACAUUCAGGCCCUGUCCGAGCCACCCCCGUAUUAUUUUGAAUGUUGGGUAGGUGAUAGCUGCAGUAUUUCAGAUGGCACUGUAUGGAAAUUAAUAGUAAAUGUUGGCUUACUCCUGGCUACUGCAAUAUAUCAGUUUUCAUUAGAAAUGUAACAUAAACUGGAAGUACUGAAAAACAGCAACAGAAGCAAUUAUGCAUGUGAUCAUUGCAGAGAGUUUGAAAAUCAUGCUUCAAUAACGCCUGAGUAGAGAGAAAGCAAAUUCUUCCACAUAAAUAUGAUUUGCUUUUGCUAAGUGAUGGCAAUUAUCAGUGGCAUUAAAAUAUAUUAUUUUGAUAUUUUUCACAUAAUUUUGUGACAGUGAGAUUUCUGCAUUAUAAACAGCAUCUUCUGCUAAUCUUAAAAGCACCACCAUUCUCUAGCUAGUAGCGCUCUGCAAAAAUCUCAGAAAAUAGGAGCUUUUCUCCCAGAUUUUUAGAAAAUUUCCUGCAAAAGCUUCCAAAUCUAGACCAUAUCAUCUAAAGAAAAAAGAAAGAAAGAAAGAAAGAAAGAAAGAAAAGAAAUUAAUUAAUAAAAGUUCCUCUUAAUAUUUUAUCCAGAGAAAGCACUUAAAGGGCUUUCAGGAGACAAAGAUUUUCAUGCAGCUGAUGAUUCAAUGGAAUCAAAAUAUGCUUUUUUUUCCUUUUCUUUCUUUCUUUACAAACAUCUGGUGGAAAAUGUGCUUUCAUAAGAUGCUGAAACACUCUCCUAAAUCCCACCAAAUUUUUCAUAAUAGCUUCUCUAAGGAUCAGUGGAGCUUCAGUAACCCAGGGAAUUUUAAUACUACUAAACAGCAGAAAUGUUCACAUUUAAAAUUAUUUGCUCAAAAAUGGGCCUUAUUUUAACAAACAUUCCAAGAAGCAUCCAGAGGUUGCCCAGAUAUUUUAUAUUUUUUUCAAUAGAGUUCUUGAUGACAUUUGGUAAAAUUGCAUUACUUUAAUGAUAUCUCUGUGACCUCAGCCAAAUGGGUGCUUCAGAUUUCCCCUUUGCCACUGCAAUAUGCAGCAGUUGAGCAAAAGGUACUUACUUGGCGGCGGAUAAGAAAGGCCUCCCGAAAGCAACCUACAUGCCUAUUUAUCUUAUCUAGGCCUCUGUCCUUCCUGAUUGUGAUUCAGGCAUUCCUCUGUAUCUCAGUCUGGCCCCCUUGAACAAGUUCUUCCAUGCAAAGGCUCCUUUCCAAGAUACUUUCCAAGUCUGCUUGAUCUGUGUUUGUUGGCCCUUUCCUUUCCUGCUUUAAGCCACCUGCAGAUUAGCAGGAGAGGAGGAACAUUCUUUAAAAAUGUUACGAUUUGUCUUUGUUAGUUGUGAUAGCAUAGGCUUGCAACCUCAGUUAUGUGGACAUCAUUUCAGAAAUCAUGAGAAUUUGUAACAAGAGUCCAUGCCUUAGAAGAAAAGUUCAGCUAAAAGGUGUGGAAGUAGGAUAGGUAUGGAUAUUCCUGAUGGAUUCAUAGGACACUCAAGAAGGAGAAUGCAGCCCUCUGCUCAAUAUGUUAGAAUUCGGUACAGCAAAAAGUGCGGGGAUUAACAGGAAGCUCUGAAAGUCUCAGUGCGUGCUCAAAACUGCAAGUUAAUUGGCAUAGCAGGCACUUGUUCAAGUAAUUUACAUGACUUGAAUAUUAAUAUGUAAGGGUAUAACUUGCUCAGGAAGGGUAGGGAGGGCAAAAGAGAGGUAGUGUUUUAUUGCACUUCUGGAUCAUACAACUCUUGUUCUAAGGCCCAGGGUGAGAAAGAAGAGAGAUGGGUUAUAAGUCUGUGGGUAAAAGUAGCAGAAAAAAAUGAGGGCAUUGUCACAGUGCAGGCCUUUGUAUGCCACUGAACCAUGAAGAUUAAGUGAGUGAAGUUUCUGAAAGCUGAUGAAAUUCUUUGAAAGCACCAGGCUUGGUGAAAUGCAAAAAUUUAACUCUUCUGGACACGUGGUAGGAAACCAGAAAAAUAGGAGACAAGCAAAUUCUAGAAAUGUAAUGUAUUGGAAAUAAUUUUAUACAGCUUGGGGGAAAGAAAAGAAAGGGAAGAAGAAGUUAAGCAGUUGUGGAUUUUUUUCAAGCCAACCAGCUGAAACUGGUUGAGAACAUGAAGGUGUGAGGCAUGUUGGGUGAGACUGACCACUGAAUGUCCUUCAGGAAGGAAAAAAAAUACCAAAACCAACAGAUUUUAAGAACAAAUUAUUUAAUAAAUUCGUGGAAUCGGAAAGACCUUUUAUAAGAAAGAAACUCUGAGAUAUCCUAUAGAUCUGGCAGUUCAUUAAAAAAUAUAUUCUAAAGGCAGGACUGUAGACUCGUCCAGUGUGGAAGUGUAUUAAGAAUCAAAUGUAGCUAAAUAGUGACUUCAUAUAGUCAUAAAAUCAUUUGAGUUGGAAGAAACCGUUAAAGGUCAUCUAAUCCAACACCGCUGCAAUGAACAGGGACAUCGACAGGUAUAUAUAUAUAUGUGUGUGUGUAUAUAUAAAAAUAUAAAAUCAUGGAAGUGAAUGAAAAGAACUAAAACAAACAAACAAACAAAGGCAGCUAAUGAGGAACACAAAGUGUAGCAGGAAUGUAUUCUAAAGAUAUUGUAACGGGAAGGAAGAAAAUCAAGGAGAAAAUUAGUCUACUUAUCAAAAGAGAGAAGAUACCAAUACUAAAAAGGACAGUGCUUUUUUUAUUUCCAGCUGAAAGACAACAACAAAGCCCACGAUUAAACAACACAAAGUAAUUAAUACCAAAUAUAGAAGUAAGAACUGAGAUUACAGUUGGCAGAGGAGAAAAUCACAGAAACCUUAAUACCAUGAGAUGCAUCCAAAUGGUCUGCAUUUCAUGCAAUUCAGGCUAAGUAUUACAUGGAGAUCAAGCCAUGGUAAGUAGCAGCAUUACUGCUAGUUACUCCUGAGAGCCCAUGAUGGAUGGCUGAGGCUCUGGACUGCUGAUAACAGGGAAAUCAGUGAGUGAGGCAAAAAUCCCCAAAGUUCAGCCAUCAUAACUUCAAUCUUGGAAGUCUUGGAUUCAUUCAACUACUUAUGAGGCUCUAAAAGAUAACAAAGGGAAAAGUAGCAAACAACAUGAAUUUGUCAAGAGCAAAUCAUGUCAAACAGAUCUAAUUUUCUUCCAUGACUGAGUAAUGGGCAUCAAGAAUAGGAAGCAGUAGACAGAUACAACAUUUUGGUGAGUUUUUGUCACUGUGUCAUAUAAUUCCCAUAUGUAAACGUGGCUACGUGAAGCUGCUGUUAUGUGGUAAACAGCUUACAGAGAUGUAUUUAGAGAGCAUAGGUAUCACAGAUUCUUUAUCAAAUUAGGGAUACCAAUCAUAUGGGGUUUCACGAUGGUCUUUUCUGGUCUAAUGCUAUGUAACAGUCUCAGUGAUUACUUAGAUGACAGAAUAGAAAAUAUUUUCUAAUCUAAAGAGAACAGCAAAUGUAGGGCAGCUGCAGUCAUGUUCAAGGACACAUUAUAAUUCAAAAUAGUGUUUAAAAAAUAGAAAAAAAAUCUGAAAAACAAGGAUAGCUGCAAAAUUUCACUUACAGGCAGUAACACAGUUACGCAGAAUAAGGACAGAUGUUGUACUGCAGGAAGAAAUAAAGAUGUAAUAAAAUGAAGUUUAAGGAGGCUCGAAAUCCUCAGACUGAUACAGAAAGAGGCAGGCAUUGUUAAUAGAUAUGUGUCUGGAGGGGUCUUCUGUGAGAUGUGCAGAGUGCUCCUUUUGCUUUAUCCAGUGCUCCACCACUUGAUGACUAUGGAGAAGGAAUAAAGAGAAGAGAAGAGCAGUGAGAAUGAGGUCUAGGAAAUACCAUACCUGAAGAAAGGGUAGAGGAAAUGGGGUUGCAUACUCUACACAGAAGAAGAUAGAGAGAAAUACAGUUAGAGACUUCAAAUGCCUCAGAAGUAGCUGUUCAAGAACGGAUGAAAGUGGACAGACCAGAAAUACAGGAUGCUAUGUUUGGAACUGAAUAUUCACGGAGACACUGCUUCAAAGGAAGAUAGCCCGUGUAUUUCCUACGACCUGUGGAACUGAACUACUUUAAGUGUCAUCUGUUGUGUGGAUUACCUGGUUGUGCAAUGGACCUUAGCAGCUUCUUUACAUUUAUACUUCAUGGAAGAUGCCUCUCCAAUUGACCAGGACCCAGCCCUAACCUUCUUAGUCAAGCAAAACUCACACUGGCUUCGAUUAAGGAAGCAAGAGCUGACUGUGAUCUUUGCUGUUUGGAGGCUGCUGUUGCAGCCCCCCAUUAUGUCAUCAUAUAGGCAAUCCACACAUGGUAUUUUUGCUUGCAAAGACUGCACUAUUGAGCCUAUGGCAGUACAGAAGAGCAGAGAAAAAUGAAAAGAUUUGUCAGUAUAAUUUCAAGACAUACAGUAGUAUGAAUUUUUAAAUAACAUUUGAUCUUAUACAAAUAUUUUAUCAUCUAUCAGGCGUACAUCCUCACAGCUAUAUAAAAAUUUGUAUUAAAAUUAUUGUAAGUAAUUUCUUUGAUGAAGAACUCAACAUCUGUGGUUUAGAAUAGCUUUAUAAUUUUCUGUGCACAAGACGGAUAACAUGAUACUUCUUUCUCAAUAAUCAUUUAUUAUGUAUAAUUUGAGCUUUUUGAGUGGUUGGACCGCACCGUGUCCUAAAUUACCAAAAGUUAAAUACUUCUUAUGUAUAUUAAAAAUGGUUAUUUUCUACAUAGUUUUCUCUAAAUUUGUAUUAAGAGAUUGCUUUUUGUUUAGAAUUAAGACAUUAUAUAAGACACCGAUCUUCAUGCAAACAUUUUUUGUCACACAUAUAUUCUGCUAGCUUAAAAAGUUAAGCUCGGGGAUUUGGUCUCUGAUCCUCCAGAGAAAAGUGUAGAAAAGUCCUUUCUGCCCUAUCCAGUCUCUAAUUAAAAGAGCACUAUGAUGGGACACUCCCAAGGCAAGCUGGUUUGUGUGGUACUUAUGGCUAAAGAACUAAAACCUGAGUGCAUCAAUACAUAGAAGCAUUGAGCCCCAUAUCUCACUGGCUCAACUGGUUGUUGUGCCAUUGCCAGUUUGUAAAGUUUUUGGAACAAGAGCCCUCUUUUUGUCUGCAUUCAUACAGAAAUGGACACUCUGUGACAUGGAUUUUAUAGUAAUUUAGUCAUACUAACAACAAUACUGAUGAUAAAUAAAAUUGGGAAUACUAAUGAAAAGAAAGUGUGUAUGGACAUCAUAUAGUACAUUACAAGUAUGUUCCCAAUCCUGCUACAGUGUGCUUCCCUGCUCUGUUCUGGAGAAACAGAAUUAAUUCCUUUGGCAUAGAUAUGUGGGACACCCUUGCAAAUACAUGAUUUUGCCAGUUAGAGCUUUAACUAUAUCCAAGUAGCCUUGGCAAAUAACUUUUUUUUUGUAUAAAUCCUAGGUUUUGCAGGUUCUCUAUCGCAUGCUAGUAAUUAAUCUUUGUAGAUUUAUCUGUGUAUUUCCUUUGCUAUUAGUUAUAUUCAUUUCUCAGCAAAUGCCCAGAGAUCGCAUUUAUCAAGAUGAAAAAUGUGAAACUAUUGCAUGCUGUGUGUCCAUCAUUACUGUCCCUGUUUGCCCUUCCCACUCCACUGUGAUGUGGGUGUACGGCAAAUGGAGGUUCAGCUCUCAGGUGACUGUUCAGACCUAUUUGUUUAGCAGGAUAAAAGAAAACACUCAAUUGCUUUUGUAGUUAUGCAUUUCUCCAGGAAUGUUCUGCUCAAAUAAAUAGAAUAUAUUCAGGCGGCGUUUAUUCAUCAACUGAAGAAUGUCACUUCUUUAUUCUAGCCCAUCUCUCUUUUGCAGACAUGAGGUAGCACAGAAAACUAAGAGGUAAAAUUGCACUAAAGAAUGGCUUGAAGAGUGACGUAUCUUCAUUAUCUGUUUUAGUUCAAAUUGGUUUGCUCUUGAAGUGCAUCUACUAAUUAUCCUAAGGUACCGUUCUUUUGUUUGUAUUGUGAAGCAUGCAGAUUGGACUUCUUUUGGACUAAGCUAACCCAGGUUGGAUCUCAGGAAAAAUUUCUUCUCAGAAAUGAAGUGGUCAGACAUUGGAACAGGCUGUGCAGGGAGGUGGUGGAGUUGCUGUCCCUGGAGGUCUUUAAGAAGAAGGUAGAUGUGGCAGUGAAUGACGUGAUCUAGUGGGCUUGAUGUUGGUGUGUAUGGGUCGACAGAUGGACUAGAUAAUCUUAGAGAUCUUUUCCAAUCUUAGUCAUUCCAUAAUUUUGUGAAAAGACAUAAACUAGGAGCCCACCCAACUUGUUUCAAUAGAAGCUUGUGGGAUCAGACUUGAGUUAGUCUUAUGUGAAAUCCCCCCAAAAUAUCACGUGGACACUGGAUCAUCAGCAACAUGACAAACACAGUUGCUCUGUAUAUCUUUCCCUGCAGUGCACUAAAUCAGAUGUACCCUUGGCUGCCCAUUCAAAGAGAUGAGUCCUGUAAUGUAAUUUCUACCAUGUUUCUCCCACCCAGUUUCCUGGCAUUUAACCCGGUUCUUUCCUGACCACAUGGUGCAACUCUUUCAGUAAUGUGCAUUAGACAGAAAGUUGAUGAAUGAGGAGAAAAGCUCGUCCUGGAAGUCCAAGCACUAUCUUAGAUUGUAUGCACAACUGCCUGGCAAGGGAGAAGGGAUGAAGCUCACCUCUGCAGCCUGAAUAUCCUUUAUGAGAAUGGUAACUCCAGGUCGUUCAGAAACAAAAUCAGCUUUGAUUAGAUUAUCAUUUAUUUACAACAAGUGAAAUUUGUCACAUUAAUCUAUAAUUUGUGUAUGUGUUUUUGUUUUUGUGUGUUUUUGUUGUUGUUGUUGUUGUUUAUUUUUCGUAGCUACACUCUUCUGUGUCAUAUAUUAAAAAAUGUCCUGUUAAAUUCAGGCAUGUUUGAAAAGCAUCUGAUUUUGUAAUCAGCAUGAUGUGAGUACUAUUUUUAUCUGAUAUCAUAUGGGUUUCACACAAAGAUGGAUGUUGGACUGUCAACAUCUCUCGUUUCCAUUAACCUUCUUUUCCUCAUUAAUAAGUGACCCAGAGCACUAAGAGCCACCCAUGAAUUCAAGCAAAUAAAGCAAUCCCCUUUUCUAGACCCAGCACUUUUUGCUGCACUGAGCCCUCACAGAGUAAGCAGCAACAUGUCUGCUGGAAAAUACAACUCUACACACAGCAGCUUUUUACUGCAUUUCCUUGCUUUCAGCCACUGUCACCCUAAUACAAUAACCUAAUCCAUGAAUACUAAAAUCCCUGCAAUAUCCCAAUCCUGAAAAAUUAGCAAAAAAAAAACCAAAAAACCAAGAAACACAUAUAUAUAUAAACACAGUGAUAAUAGAACACAAAUGAUAAGCAUGUAUAUUUAGCAUAACAGAUCCCACUAUCAUUAUCUAUUAUAUAUUCUUCCCAAUUCAGACCAGUUUUGUAAAUCUCAACUGUGAGGCUUAUCUGAUUAAACAGAAAAGCUAUGGCAAAAAACAAUGCACAAAAAUGUUUGUAAUGUAAUAUGAAAAUGGUGUUUGGGAUCUUAAUACGCUGUAAUUGACCACAGAAUUUUUCAGUGAAAUGAUAAUUUGGCAUUAGAAUUGUGCAGUACUUAAAUAAUAUAAUUUUGAUAAUGACAGUAAAAUACAAUUUCAGUAAUGCAAGUGAAUCAUAAACUUGAACAAUAUUUCUCAUUCAAAUGAAGUUUGCAAUAUGUCUGAAUGCUAUAACUACUGUACAUUUUAAAAAGAACUCUGUCAUGAACUGUUAUUAAACAUUACUAUAUUUCAAAUAUACAGCAACAACUGGUGAAGUUACAAUGCAAGCAUAGAAAAAACAUGUUACAUUUAUUUGGGAAAUAAUGAAUCCUGUGGGAGCAAGUCAAACUCCUUUCUCUAGACAGUUUUGUUAUAGACUUUUUAAAGAGCUGAACUUUGAGAACUCUUCACUCAUAUUUAGCUGAAAACUGAAACUGUGAUUGGUUUUGACCUUCUGAAGAUAAACAUUAAUUCCCAUGGAUUCUCAUGGUUCCCAUUUCUUGUUGCAGUAUUCAUGGUUCCGACACAAAGGGGGCUAAUCUGCUGGGGAUCUGAUCAGAAUGAAUUUUUUUCUCACAUUGAAAGCCAUUCUUUAUUUGUGGCAUUCUCCCUGUGGCUUUUUCACAGCUGCUUGUGCAAGAAGUAGCAUUGCACUGACAGUGACGUACCACAGAAGAUACAUGGACUGGUUGGCAUGAGGCAGGCAACCCACAUCACUUCUGCAAGCAAGUUCUUUGAGUUUUUUAAUCUUUAAAUCUUUAAUCUUUGCACCCACUGCAGGGAUCCUUGCGUAAGCUUAGGUAAGGAGUAGGUAGAACGCUACUUGCCUUGUGACUCUUUUAUGUGUGCACGUGUCCGCAUUGCUUCCCUACACGGUCAUCCGGUUGGAAGCAGUUCCAUCUCCUUUGUCUAUGGUGGCAGCUGCCAGAUACCAUACUGAACACUCUGUCACAUUUUGUCAAACAUAUGUUUGAAGUUUUAUAUCUAGGUUGUUCCAAAAGUAAUGCCUCCUAUUUAUUCCCAUGGAAACUACAGUGGAUAGAAGGAGCACAAUAACACCAUUUGAUAGAGCAGACUUUCAGCUAUGAAACACUGUUUUUCAACACAGUCACCACCAUUAGCUGUAGGUUUCAACCACCAAUGUACAAGAGCCUGCAUGCUGCACUUGUAACAAUCUGACCCAGUGGACGUGAUCCACUACCACUGUCACGACGGCUGGAACACACCAGCCACCGCCUGACUGUGCUCACAUCCACUGGUUGGUCUCCUUAAACAUUCAGCAAGCACCAGUGAAUGUCAGUAGGUGCUAUUUUUUUCCUCACGGAGAAAUUCAGUGACACACCUUUGCCUCACAAGCACUUCCAUGUCAGACCCCAUUUUGUCAGACUGCCCCUCUUCUGCCAUCUGUCACAUGGCAACAGCAGGUAACAGGAAGGUUCACCCUCUACUGCCAUUCCACCACCGUCUGCCUCUGAUGUUGUAAGCCAACAUCAUAAAAUGGAAGGCAUUACUUUUGGAGCAACCCAUAUAAUAUCAGAUAAAAAUAGUACUCACAUCAUAUUCUCUUAUAUAUAUAAUGUUCCCUUAUGCUGCUACAUUUCAUUUGCAAAGAUAGGGUUUAUAUACUGUAAAUUUUACUUCUUAACCAAAAAUACAUUAUCCUGGAAGCAAAUUGAGUGAAGUGUUCUCAAUGUGCCUGUAAUUUCUUUGCAAUUGUGUGAGGUGUGAAAUUCACUUGACUGUUCUUAGUGAAGGAUCUGAAGGGUGGGAGAUAAAAAAAUUGUUUUACUCCUGCCAAGCAAGCACAGAGAAGUAUAGAUUAUGUAUGUCAUUUCUGGAAAGAAGAUGGAGGAGCUGUGCUUCCAAAAGACAUCCUUAGGCUCAAAGAAAAAUGAAAGGACCUAAGACCAAUCUUUUUC